rnacentral:rRNA from 1 species
UCGAACGAUGAAGCCCAGCUUGCUGGGUGGAUUAGUGGCGAACGGGUGAGUAACACGUGAGUAACCUGCCCUCGACUCCAGGAUAAGCCCGGGAAACUGGGUCUAAUACUGGAUAUUCAAUUUCCAUCGCAUGGUGGUUUUUGGAAAGGAUUCUGGUCGAGGAGGGACUCGCGGCCUAUCAGCUUGUUGGUGAGGUAAUGGCUCACCAAGGCGACGACGGGUAGCCGGCCUGAGAGGGUGACCGGCCACACUGGGACUGAGACACGGCCCAGACUCCUACGGGAGGCAGCAGUGGGGAAUAUUGCACAAUGGGCGAAAGCCUGAUGCAGCGACGCCGCGUGAGGGAUGACGGCCUUCGGGUUGUAAACCUCUUUCAGUAGGGAAGAAGCGAAAGUGACGGUACCUGCAGAAGAAGCGCCGGCUAACUACGUGCCAGCAGCCGCGGUAAUACGUAGGGCGCAAGCGUUAUCCGGAAUUAUUGGGCGUAAAGAGCUCGUAGGCGGUUUGUCGCGUCUGCCGUGAAAGUCCGGGGCUUAACUCCGGAUCUGCGGUGGGUACGGGCAGACUAGAGUGCUGUAGGGGAGACUGGAAUUCCUGGUGUAGCGGUGAAAUGCGCAG